AAUGCUCACUAAACACUUUGAACAAAUUUAUCCUUUUAGGGUCCCCAGUUCUCCUAAAAGUUCUCAAAUUUUGCCCACUUUCCAACUUUGUGAAACAAGUUAAACAAAAUUAAAGGAUUCUGGGCUCCUUAGAAGUAUUUUUGCCUGUAAAGUUAAAAAAAGAUCUCUGUACCAAAGUCAUUGUUGUUUAUAAUUUUCUAUUCAUUGCUAUUUUCUCUUAAUUCUCCACUGGAGAAGAAAAUCCCUCUAGCCCCCCAGCUUGAGGGUACCCAUAGGUACAGCUGAACACAACUAAGACCAGAACAAAAAUUGUGCAGUUUCACCUCUUAGAAAGUAUAUUACUGAAUAAAGAAGGAAUUCCAUGUUAUUCUUGACAUACUGAAUCAACCUUUCCAUGUAAGGGGUGUGACUUGACAUAAAACUGGAUAUUUUUAAAGGAAGAGGCUACACAAUCCAUCAAAAUACUCUGGGGAGAAGAAGAAAGUUAAAGGAGAGGCAGCACUUCUGAAACUACUGCCAACAGCUUUGUUACCAUGGACACAGUGCAUGGUCACCCUACCUAGCCAAAACCAAAAUACACAAAAGGAGGAAAAAAUUCCAGACUUUGAAAAAUGGCAAGACUAUAUGUCAGGCUGACCACUGAGAUUAAAAGCUCUUAAAACUAUGUAUAUCAGAGGAAGAAAUUCAAAUCUAAGUUUCUAGCUCAGAUUUCUGUUACUUAAUAUGACUUAAAUACACAUAUGACUUAUAUGUAUAUACAUACACUCAAAAACCAGACUGAGUUUUGCAGAAAAUAUUCAAGAGAAUUUGAGCCAAAGAGAACGUAGACUGCUUAGAGCAAUCAGUGGUAAGCUAUGCCAGCAGCUUCACCCCCAAAACAUAGCUUGGAAUACUGCCUUGAUUUCCAAUCACUUGUUUAUCAAAUUUCCCAGUGAGAAAUACAGAAGGACACCCAAAAACACGAGUUAAAAGCAAACUGUCCAGCACGUGUUACAGAAGAGCCAGAAUUUUGACAGCAGUGCUCAAAAAACUACAGUGCUCAGAAAGCUUGCCACAAUGUGUCUACCCACUUUACAAAAUCACAUCUAUGCCUGGAAGAGCAGAGGACUGCUGUGCAGUCAGACACCAGCAGCACCCGAAAGUGGAGAAUGAUUUCAGGAAACUUUUAAAUAAAAGUUUUGUUUCCAUCCAUUCUUUUUCCAUCAUGAAAUGAUCAGUAUUUGAUUGUAAUUUUUUUUAACACGUGCUGCUGUUUCAAACACAACACUCCAAUAGAGAAAAAAGUAAAUGAAGCCAAACCAGCAUUUGCCUUUUAACAUACCAGCAAUGUUUUCCCAAUUGCUUGGCUCAAUAGUCCGAAACAUGAUAGGCGCAUGUAGAACUUCAACCCAUGCUGCUCCUGUGGCUUUCCUCUUUUUAAUUACAUGAAAUCUUUUAUCGCUAUUAUGAGAAGCAGUAAACUUCGAAGAAAGUAUUGUAUAAAUUGUAACUGCCAUUACCUAUUAUGUCAGGAGUUUUCUACAGAAACAGAAUAUUUUGACAUUUAAUUCUACAGAUUGUUCUGGAAAACCAAGACUAAACUAAAAAAAUGGAAUCUACCAAAUGGGAAGAAAAUCAGAAUUUUAGAAAGGAAAUCAGAAACCUUUCAACAUGAAGAGAAUACAAAUAUGCCCUCUUGAGAUGAAGAGGCUGUGAUAAUACAGGCAACUUUACUGCAGGAAAAAGAAAACUGUUAUCUCCCAAUUUUUCACAUGCUGCUGAAGCAGGUAACCCCAAUAGUGAAAUAUAUUUAUUCUCUUAAAUAGGGGACUAGAGCACAACUUGCAUUACUUCCUACAUAUAACAAAAUGUGACACAGAGUGCAAGUUUCUCACUGGCUAUU
ensembl:lncRNA